CACGUCAUGUUGAAAUGCCGAUUCCCGAUCGGUCGCCAAAGUUAAGCAACGUCGAGCUUGGUCAGUACCUAGAUGGGUGACCACUUGGAAAUACUAAGUGCUGUAA